GCCUAAAGGCCUAAAACCAAUUAUAAUGACGCGAUGGGGGUGGGGGAUUAAUGCGUAGCUGCGUUCGCUUUACUUCCAUGGCGGGCUCCGCGCUGCCUCGUUCUGCAUACUCUGUGCAUACCUUUCGCCCACCCUUGCCCCGAUACCGUCCAGCUCGAUGCGUGCGAUGGUCAGAGAGACUCCUCCAUGUAUUCUCUGCGGCCACUUCAACCAAAUUUAGGGCAUGGAAGUUGGACCAGCUCAAAAGAAGGUGCUGCACUGAUGCGUGUUUUGUCACCAAUGAUGACAAAUAUGGUAACAAGCAGGUUAUCGUCGUUACUCCACGAAUUUAUGAUUACGUGCUCGCCAAUGUCCGAGAGCCUGAGAUUUUGCGUCAACUUCGAGAGGAGACUGCUACUAUGCGAGGUAGUCAGAUGCAGGUAUCCCCUGAUCAGGCACAAUUGCUGGCAAUGCUUGUCCAGAUUCUUGGGGCAAAACGAUGUAUUGAAGUUGGUGUUUAUACAGGAUACUCAUCACUGGCUGUUGCUUUAGUCCUACCAGAAUCAGGUUGUUUGGUUGCUUGCGAAAGAGAUGAACAAUCUCUCGAGGUUGCAAAAAAGUAUUAUGAGCUAGCUGGCGUUUCUCACAAGGUGGAUGUGAAACAUGGACUAGCAGCAGAUACAUUAAAAUGCCUGAUUCUCAAUGGGGAAGCUUGCAGCUAUGAUUUUGCAUUUAUUGAUGCCGAGAAGAGAAUGUAUCAGGACUAUUUUGAAAUGCUGUUAAAACUGGUGAGGGUCGGAGGUGUCAUUGUAAUUGAUAAUGUCCUUUGGCAUGGAAAAGUUGCUGAUCCACUGGUGAACGAUACAAAGACCCUUAGCAUACGGAAUUUCAAUAAAAAACUAAUGGAGGACAAUCGUGUUAGCAUUAGCAUGGUACCCAUUGGAGAUGGAAUGACAAUUUGUCAGAAAAGAUGAUCUCAUAGCAUCACACAAUGUCACUGCUUGGUUCAAUGACCUACUCUCAUGAAGAGUUCAUCAUAGGUUACAUAAUUGUCUUGCAGUGUCCAGUAGCAAACAUUACAAGGUCUGGCCACAUCCAGGAGUAUCAGCAAAAUGGCAUAUUGAGGUAUUAUUGUCAUAUAAACCCAUCUUGAGUAUGGUUGACCAGCCCAUCCCAAGGAUCACUCUUUCAUGCACACAAUGCAAAAGCUCUGUAGAAACUGGCAUCGUAUGGUCCCCAAUAUGCCCGCCAGCAGCAGAAGGGGCCGAUUCUUGUUUUACGCGAUGUGACGAGAAGUGACUAGACUGCCCACAUUUUCCUUCCAAUUAUAAAGGUAAAUAUAUUGAUCAAAAUCGAAUAUGUACAAGUACACUGAGCAUACCCAGGUUAAUCAGAUAUACAUCUCACAAACAGAAAAGACAUCCCCAAGGUAGUGAUCAUCCAUUCUUCAAGUUCCUCCUAUAUCUGGAAGUGUGUAUACCUUUUAAAUUCAAAAUGCGUCAACACCCCCCAAUAAUAAUGUCAUUGAGUAGGGCAGUGCAGCAACAACUCUCAAUUCUGCAUUAUUUGAUAUAUUGCAUCUACACCAGGUCUGAAGUCAAUUUCAACUCAGGAGAGUCUAACUGCUAUUUCAAACAUCUGUUUUUAGUCUUCUCCAACAUUCAGUGGUGUCAAAUUCAAAGUCAAACCAAAGGUGUAUCAGCCAUCUACUGCAGCAUAACUCUAAUCUUCAUAGACCUUCAGUACAGUCCGUCUCUGACCACGUUACCACCAUAGUAAAUUUAAUCCCCUCUGUAUAAGCCUAAGCUCUUUAAUCUGAAUCCAGCAGCAUUGAUCAUACUUGCCAAAAUCAGAUCAGAAGUCAACUCAGGAGAGCCUUAUUGCUUCUUUGAAUCUCUGUUUUUAGACUUCCCCAACAUUCAGUGAAGCCAAUUACAGCAGCUGCAAUGAACUACAAAGACAAACCAAGCCAUUCAGGAUGCUGCAGCACAACUCUAGCAACACCCAGAACUGCACUAGUCUGAUUCUUCUCCAAAAAUCAGUGGUUCCAACUACACUCAGCUUCACUGAUGUUUUAAAAAAUAUUUUAGUCAACCCAACUGAAUACUGCAGCACAAAUUUAAUCAUCAAAGGACUACUUGUUUGCCCACCUCUGACCAAGUUCCCACCAUAAGGACUGCUGGUGAAACUCCCUCAAAACCUCAAAUCUAUGCAAAAACUGGAGUACCAAAAUGCCUCCUCCAAUCUCUGCAUUUGGUCAAACUCCACAAUUCAGUAUUGCCAGUUAAAACGGCAGAGCUUAUCAUCCAACAAUCAGUCAUGCCACCAUUUGUAAGCAAACACAGCCAGCACAGCCAUUCAGCAGCAUUUCAAUCCACUGAGCAAUCAAGAGGAAACGUAUCAAAUCUAUCAUACACUUCUCUAUAUACGUGCUUUUGUAUCACUUUCACCAACUCCUCGGAGGCAUUUGAAAACAUGAAACUACACAGUUCUGUUCUCA